ACGGCCUACGGUUGUAAACUGCUUUUAUACCGGAAUAAACCUUUGCUCGUGAACAGAGCUGAAUGUACGGUAAGAAUAAGGAUCGGCUAACUCCGUGC
rnacentral:rRNA from 1 species